CAGUAGCCGCGGUAAUACGUAGGGCGCGAGCGUUAAUCGGAAUUACUGGGCGUAAAGCGUGCGCAGGCGGUUCGUUAAGACAGAUGUGAAAUCCCCGGGCUUAACCUGGGAACUGCAUUUGUGACUGACGGGCUAGAGUAUGGCAGAGGGGGGUAGAAUUCCACGUGUAGCAGUGAAAUGCGUAGAGAUGUGGAGGAAUACCGAUGGCGAAGGCAGCCCCCUGGGCCAAUACUGACGCUCAUGCACGAAAGCGUGGGGAGCAAACAGGAUUAGAUACCCCUGUAGUCCCUGUCUCUUAUAC
rnacentral:rRNA from 1 species